UGAACUUAUGUUUCAUUUUGCUGGGAGGGGUCUGUGGCCAGAGACCAGGAGUGGUGGGCUGUGAGAGAAGAGAAAAUAGAAAAAAAAAAAAAAAAUAUAUAUAUAUAUAUAUAUAUAUAUAUUGGUCUCUGCCCCGACUCCUGGCACAGAAUUCCUAAAACCCUUGUAAUUUCCUAAGUGAUAAGGGCAGUAGGAGAACCUUUUGUUCUAAGGAGGCAAUUCUGGGUGGGCUCCUGCAUGACUACUAAAUGGGGGCUGGUCACAAGAAAGACUAGCCAUGAUUAAAAUCUUGGAAUUUUCAGCCCCAUCCAUCAGAGAGGGAACAGAACUGAAAUGGAGUUAAUGAUUGAUCAUGCCUAUGUGAUGAACCCUCCAUAAAAUUCCAAAAGCAUGGGAGUCUGGAGAGCUUCCAGGUUGGUGAAUAUAUCCACACCGAGAGGUUGACGCACCCCAACUCUACAGAGACAGAAGCUCCUGCACCAGGUGAACCUCCCAGACCUUGCCUAUGUAUUUCUUUAUCUGGCUGUCCAUCUGUAUCCUUUAUCAUAUCCUUUAAUAAAUUGAUGCAACUGAUGCAAGUAAGUGUUUCCUGAGUUCUGUGAGCUGCUCUAGCAAAUUAAUCCAACCUGAUGAGGGGAUCAUUGGAACUCCCAAUCUAUAACUCGUGGGUCAGAAGACAUGACACCACAAAACUCCUAGAAAGAACAUAGCAAAAUAUUCUCUAACAUAAAUCGUAGCAAUAUUUUCUUAGGUCAGAAUCCCAAAACAAUAGAAAUAAAUGCAAAAAUAAACAAAUUGGACCUAAUCAAACUUAUAAACAUUUGCACAGCAAAGGAAACCAUAAACAAAAUGAAAAGAACCUAUAGGCUGGGAGAAAAUAUUUGCAAACAAUGCGAACGACAAGGGCUUAAUUUCCAAAAUAUACUAACAACUCAUACAACUCAAUAACAGCAACAACAAAAAGUAAAAAAAAUGGGCAGAAGACCUAAAUAGACAUUUUUCCAAAGAAAACAUACAGAUGGCCAAUAGGUACAUGAAAAGAUGCUCAUCAUCACUAAUUAUUAGAGAAAUGCAAAUCAAAACUACAAUGAGGUAUCACCUCACACCAGUUAGAAUGGGCAUCAUCAGAAAAUCUACAAAUAACAAAUGCUGGAGAGGGUGUGGAGAAAAGGGAACCCUCUUGCACUGUUGGUGGGAAUGUAAAUUGAUACAGCCACUAUGGAGAACAGUAUGGAGGUUCCUUACAAAACUAGAAAUAGAAUUACCAUAUGACCCAGCAAACCCACUACUGGGCAUAUACCCAGAGAAAACCGUAAUUCAAAAAGACACAUGCACCCCAAUGUUCAUUGCAGCACUAUUUACAAUAGCCAGAUCAUGGAAGCAACCUAAAUGCCCAUUGACAGAUGAAUGGAUAAAGAAGAUGUGGUACAUAUAUAGAAUGGAAUAUUACUCAGCAAUAAAAACGAAUGGAAUUGAGUCAUUUGUAGAGACGUGGAUGGACCUACAGACUGUUAUACAGAGUGAAGUAAGUCAGAAAGAGAAAAACAAAUAUCGUAUAUUAACGCAUAUGUGUGGAAUCUAGAAAUAUGGUACAGAUGAACCAGUUUGCAAGGCAGAAAUAAAGACACAUGUAGAGAACAAAUGUAUGGACACCGAGCGGGGAGCGGUGUGUGUGUGAUGAAUUGGGAGAUUGGCACUGACAUAUAUACUAAUAUGUAUAAAAUAGAUAAUAAGAACCUGCUGUAAAUAAAAUAAAAUUCAAAAAAAAAA